UGGUGGAGUGAUUCGUCUGGUCAAUUCCGUUAACGAACGAGACCUCGGCCUCUAAAUAGUCCGGUGCACCUUCGGGUGCAUACGCGACUUCUUAGAGGGACUGUCGGUGCUUAGCCGAAGGAAGUUCGAGGCAAUAACA
rnacentral:rRNA from 1 species